ensembl:lncRNA
CGUGGAACAAACGGCUUCACUUCAGGAAAGAAAAAAAGAACGAAGGAGGCGGACGGAUGCCAAAAGAAGCUGAGCUUAAAUCAAUGCAAUUUCCUCCCUUCAUGUCGCUGGCCAGAAGGACCUUUUUUUUUUUUUUUUUUUGAGUUUUCCACCACUUUUUUUUGCUAGAAAUUCUUUCAGCUUUGAGAUAUACUGUAACUCACAACGCGCAUGGAGGGGCUGAGCCGGCAGGAGAAAGAGAAGCGACAUGGCGUGAACACGACAUCCUGGAUUCCCACUCAGCGAGGCGAAGGACGGCACUCCGACUCCCUGCCAAGACACCUUAUCUGUGGCUGGCAGCCUGCAGACAGGAUGGAGGGAACGCUCGUGGUGAUUCAUCAAGAAAAACAAAUGGUCGACUUCAAAUUGGGCUUCUUGUUGGAACGUGACGGGGGCCUUUGAGAAGCAUCACCUGUUCCACACAAAUCCAACGGCCUUGUCUCUGCCCUGCCAGCUGCUGACAGCACGAGUCACUUUGAGUUGCUAUCAGCUCCAUCCUCCCAGCAUCCUCUGAGGAAGGAAGCAGGGCCAGGCUGCACCAGAGCCCCGCAAGCUUUGCAUCACCAUCUCCUGCAGGGACACUGGUUAUUUUUGGACCAAGGGCGGAUCACAUUACGACGGCGAAGAGGACCCCUCGGACAGGAAAUCGCCCAGCACGCCACCCAGCAGGUCCCGUUGGCUCUCAGCCGACCCGACUGUGAUUCGGCCUCAUAUGCAGACGUCGGUCAGGGAGAGAAACGCCUCACAGAACAAGAGACCCGUCUCCAGCGACGGGUGACCUCUAAAAUCCCAUCAGCCCCGGUGGGACACGACCUGCACGCUGUCGCUGUGUGCAAAAAGGGCAGCAAGCUGAGGAAGCCAGGAAACAGAAGCUCACAUUGGAACAAAUGGAUCAAUGGUGUGAUUUGUCUCCUCCGUCAUCCCAAUUUGACACCUCACCCCCUCCCUCCCCCCUCCGAGAGUAAGUGAUGUUAUUUUGAAGAUUUUCUCUUUAUAUUCAGGAUAUUUUUUGGGGGGGGGGCAUUUGGGGUCUAUGGUUCCUACACAAGUUCAAUAGAUUAAAACCGUCUCUGAUGCAAAUACACAGAGCAC